UCCUAGCCCUGAUGGAAGCGGCAUCCCGCACUUUUUUUAGUGCGGAUACAGCGUACAGCAGGAAAAAGC
rnacentral:sRNA from 1 species